rnacentral:rRNA from 1 species
UACGGAGGGUGCAAGCGUUGUCCGGAUUUAUUGGGUUUAAAGGGUGCGUAGGCGGCCCGUUAAGUCAGCGGUGAAAUCCCAGGGCUCAACCCUGGAACUGCCGUUGAUACUGGCGGGCUUGAGUUCGGUCGAGGCGGGCGGAACUGGUGGUGUAGCGGUGAAAUGCUUAGAUACCACCAAGAACCCCAAUUGCGUAGGCAGCUCGCUUGGCCGAAACUGACGCUGAGGCACGAAAGCGUGGGGAGCGAACAGG